UACGGAGGAUGCGAGCGUUAUCCGGAUUUAUUGGGUUUAAAGGGUGCGCAGGCGGCGAGUUAAGUCAGCGGUCAAAUCGUGGGGCUCAACCCCAUCCAGCCGUUGAAACUGGGGAUCUAGAGUGUGCGAGAGGUAUGCGGAAUGCGUGGUGUAGCGGUGAAAUGCAUAGAUAUCACGCAGAACCCCGAUUGCGAAGGCAGCAUACCGGCGCCCAACUGACGCUGAGGCACGAAGGCCAGGGGAGCGAAAGGG
rnacentral:rRNA from 1 species